UACGUAAGGACCGAGCGUUGUCCGGAAUCAUUGGGCGUAAAGGGUUCGCAGGUGGAAAUGCAAGUCAGAUGUAAAAGGCAGAAGCUUAACUCCUGUAAGCAUUUGAGACUGCAAAUCUUGAGAAGAGUAGAGGUAAGUGGAAUUUUUAGUGUAGCGGUGAAAUGCGUAGAUAUUAAAAAGAAUACCGGUGGCGAAGGCGACUUACUGGGCUCAGUCUGACGCUGAGGAACGAAAGCGUGGGUAGCAAACAGG
rnacentral:rRNA from 1 species